UGUUUAGUUAAGUUAGAAAGGGCGCACGGUGGAUGCCUUGGCACUAGGAGCCGAUGAAGGACGGGACAAACACCGAUAUGCUUCGGGGAGCUGUAAGUAAGCGUUGAUCCGGAGAUUUCCGAAUGGGGGAACCCACUGUCCGUAAUGGGGCAGUAUCCAUACGUGAAUCCAUAGCGUAUGGAGGCAUACCCGGGGAACUGAAACAUCUAAGUACCCGGAGGAGAAGAAAGCAAAAGCGAUUCCCUGAGUAGCGGCGAGCGAAACGGGAACAGCCCAAACCAAGAGGCUUGCCUCUUGGGGUUGUA
rnacentral:rRNA from 2 species